rnacentral:rRNA from 1 species
UACGUAGGGACCAAGCGUUGUUCGGAUUUACUGGGCGUAAAGAGCGCGCAGGCGGUCGAUCAAGUCGAGUGUGAAAGCCCCCGGCUCAACUGGGGAGGGUCAUUCGAUACUGAUCGACUCGAAGGCAGGAGAGGGUAGUGGAAUUCCCGGUGUAGUGGUGAAAUGCGUAGAGAUCGGGAGGAACAUCAGUGGCGAAGGCGGCCAUCUGGGACAACACUGACGCUGAAGCACGAAAGCGUGGGGAGCAAACAGG